CGUCACUACAGUUUGAUCCCAGCGCUGUGCAGGUGUCUCUCGUAAACACCGAUUAGAAAAAUGCACGACACACUAGAACGCUGUUUGAUCGCCACUGAUCCGAAUUUCGCGUAUUUUUUUCUUCGUUCGGUACACCGAUACGGGCAAAGCAAAACGGGAAUAAAUGCAAAAAUAAUGUGAAAUUGGCACGGUCAACGCCGACCGCG